AUUGAACGCUGGCGGCAGGCUUAACACAUGCAAGUCGAACGAGUGGCGGACGGGUGAGUAAUGCUUGGGAAUCUAGCCUAUAGCGGGGGAUAACUACGGGAAACUGUAGCUAAUACCGCGUACUAUAGGAUGAACCCAAGUGGGAUUAGGUAGUUGGUGGGGUAAAGGCUCACCUAGCCGCCGAUCUCUAGCUGGUCUGAGAGGAUGAAAAGCCACACUGGGACUGAGACACGGCCCAGACUCCUACGGGAGUCAGCAGUGGGGAAUAUUGCGCAAUGGGGGCAAGCUGAUGCAGCCAUGCCGCGUGAAUGAAGAAGGCCUUCGGGUUGUAAAGGUCUUUCGGCAGCGAGGCGUUACCUGCAGAAGAAGCACCGGCUAACUCCGUGCCAGCAGCCGCGGUAAUAC
rnacentral:rRNA from 1 species